rnacentral:rRNA from 1 species
CAAUAGCGUAUAUUAACGUUGUUGCAGUUAAAAAGCUCGUAGUUGGAUUUCUGGUGGGAGCGAUCGGUCUGGCGCUUAGCGCGAGUACUUGCAUCGUCUCCGGCCAUCCUUGGGGAGAGUCUGUCUGGCAUUAGGUUGUCGGGCAGAGGAUCCUCAUCGUUUACUGUGAAAAAAUUAGAGUGUUCAAAGCAGGCUUAUGCCGUUGAAUAUAUUAGCAUGGAAUAAUAAGAUAGGACUUUGGUACUAUUUUGUUGGUUUGCGCACCAAAGUAAUGAUUAAUAGGGACAGUUGGGGGUAUUCGUAUUCCGUUGUCAGAGGUGAAAUUCUUGGAUUUACGGAAGACGAACUACUGCGAAAGCAUUUACCAAGGAUGUUUNCAUUA